UACAGAGGUCUCAAGCGUUGUUCGGAUUCAUUGGGCGUAAAGCGCGCGCAGGCGGUCCUUUAAGUCUGAUGUGAAAGCCCACGGCUCAACCGUGGAGGGUCAUUGGAAACUGGGGGACUUGAGUGCAGAAGAGAAGAGUGGAAUUCCACGUGUAGCGGUGAAAUGCGUAGAGAUGUGGAGGAACACCAGUGGCGAAGGCGACUCUUUGGUCUGUAACUGACGCUGAGGCGCGAAAGCGUGGGGAGCAAACAGG
rnacentral:rRNA from 1 species